UACAGAGGGUGCAAGCGUUAAUCGGAAUUACUGGGCGUAAAGGGCGCGUAGGCGGUUAUAUAAGUUAGGUGUGAAAUCCCCGGGCUUAACCUGGGAACUGCAUUUAAUACUGUAUGGCUAGAGUAGAGUAGAGGGAAGUGGAAUUUCCGGUGUAGCGGUGAAAUGCGUAGAUAUCGGAAAGAACACCAGUGGCGAAGGCGGCUUCCUGGACUCAUACUGACGCUGAGGCGCGAAAGCAUGGGAAGCAAACAGG
rnacentral:rRNA from 1 species